AGGACGAACGCUGGCGGCGUGCCUAACACAUGCAAGUCGAACGAGUCCAGGCUUUCGGGCCUGAGGCGAGUGGCGGACGGGUGAGUAACACGUGAGCAAUCUGCCCCUGUGCGGGGGACAACCCGGGGAAACUCGGGACUAAUACCGCAUGGUCGGUCACCAGGCUCUGGAGACCGGGAAAGACGGCCUCUUUACAAUGCUGUCGUGCAGGGAGGAGCGUCGCGGGCUAUCAGCUAGUUGGUGCGGUCACGGCGCACCAAGGCAACGACGGCUACGGGGUCUGGAGAGGACGACCCGCGACAGUUCGGAACUGAGACACGGUCCAGACUCCGUACGGGACGG
rnacentral:rRNA from 1 species